UCUUACAGCCAUACCACCCUAAGCGCACCCAAUCUCUUCUGAUCUCGGAAGCUAAGCAGGGUCGGGCCUGGUUAGUACUUAAAUGGGAGAAAUACAGAUUCUUAGCAGCAUUCCAGAC
ensembl:rRNA 5S_rRNA 5S ribosomal RNA